rnacentral:SRP_RNA from 1 species
UAGGGACCAGGCCCGGGGAGCCUUGCCCAGCUCCUCCCUGGGUUUAGCGCCCAGGCCGAUGGGUUCGGGGGCCGAAACCCGCAUAUCGACUCACGCACUAGGCCAGGGGACGUCGGUACCUCAAUGAAGACCGGUCUCCUGGGGCGUCCAUGCCGUAGUCGAUCAGCCGUAGGGCUGGUUGGCUACGGAACCCGGCGAACCGGGUUAGGCCCGGGAGGGAGCGGCCCUAAGUCGGGGUGGACGCGUUCAGGGGGGUUGCCGGUUAGAGAAUGGGCCGGUGAAACCCCUGGUCUAGCGUGUGGGUUGAUAUGCGGGGUUGGGUCCCGU